UGGAGGUGGUGGGGGGAAAACUGGAGGUGGUAGGGGGAACCCUGGAGGGAAAACUGGAGGUGGUGGGAGGAACCCUGGAGGGAAAACUGGAGGGAAAACUGGAGAGAAAACUGGAGGUGGUGGGAGGAACCCUGGAG